rnacentral:rRNA from 1 species
UACAGAGGUCUCAAGCGUUGUUCGGAUUCAUUGGGCGUAAAGGGUGCGUAGGCGGCGGGGCAAGUCGGGUGUGAAAUCUCAGAGCUCAACUCUGAAACUGCACUCGAUACUGCUUUGCUCGAGGACUGGAGAGGAGAUUGGAAUUCACGGUGUAGCAGUGAAAUGCGUAGAUAUCGUGAGGAAGACCAGUGGCGAAGGCGGGUCUCUGGACAGUUCCUGACGCUGAGGCACGAAGGUCAGGGGAGCAAACGGGG